AUACGGAGGGUGCUAGCGUUACUCGGAAUCACUGGGCGUAAAGCGCGCGCAGGCGGCUAUUUAAGUUGGAUGUGAAAGCCUACGGCUCAACCGUAGAACUGCAUCCAAAACUAUUUAGCUAGAGUGUGGGAGAGGAAGAUGGAAUUAGUUGUGUAGGGGUAAAAUCCGUAGAGAUAACUAGGAAUACCAAAAGCGAAGGCAAUCUUCUGGAACACUACUGACGCUGAGGCGCGAAAGCGUGGGGAGCAAACGGGAUUAGAUACCCCAGUAGUCC
rnacentral:rRNA from 1 species